UAAUCUGUCACUUUCACAUAGAGUAGAAUGAGUGGUUUUUUAUAAAAAUUAAUCGAAAAUUGAAUAUUUCGCAGUAUCAUUAUUCUCUAUACAAGCCGAAGGUGGAGUAGAGACGAGGAGAAUAGGAAGUGUACACAAUUAAUGGAGAUCGUUUCGCGUGAUGUUGGCCAUUCCCGUGAAUCGUUCCAACUGACGAAAAGUGAUCGCGUUUGUAUUGGGCUCGCAUAAGAUUAACCGUGGCAUCGUUCCUCCUGUAAACUGUGCGCGUAUCCGUUUGAAAGUGCGAUCGAGAAAAGGUUCGACGCUUGUCAAGCACGAAUUCCAAGACCUUCCGAUCCCUUCCCAAGCGCGGAAAUGUUUCUCUCCUGAUCGAGUAAUGUCCUCACUCCGUUUCUCGCGUAAACGACUGUUCAUGGAUUUCGUAUAAGAUACCAAAACGGUUGGAUAUCGUCCAUCGCGAAGAAGCUCGUUAAUCCAAGAACGGAAAUGGAGAGUUCAGAGGAGCCGACGAGUUUGCAGUCGAUUUGUCACCUGCAUGCCUCGGAGCUGUUCCCGAAACACGCCAACGUCGAGUGCGAAGACGAGUCUCUCACAGUGCCGUUCACACCGUUGAGCGGUGAAUCCAUCGUGGCACUUGGGCGCACGUCGGACGGGGUACUGGCCCUUUCCAAUUACAGGCUAUACUUGCAAUUGAGCCAGGCGUGCUACAACAUCCCCCUCGGUUUGAUAGAACAGUUGGAAGUGAAGGAAAUAUUCUUCCUGCACAUCGGUUGCAAGGAUGCUCGCUCAUUGAGUUGUGCCUUCUCUACGAACGAACAUUGCCUGGAGUGGUUUAAAAGACUACACAAAGUCACGUAUCCGAGGAAGAGUAUAGACGAUAUAUUUGCCUUUGCAUACUACGCUUGGUCCAUGGAGGAAGGCAAGGAGAACAGCAAGCUGGGAAAGGAUAACGUCUCUUACACAGCUACUUUCAAUUCAGAAGUAAGGAAUUCGUCGAACGAUCAUCUAUCCUGUAACUUGAACUACUAUGUCCUUCAGGUGGAACGACUAAAAUUUAAUUUACACGGUACAUGGCGCGUGAGUCAAAUGAAUAAAGAUUAUCGCAUGUGCCUGUCGUACCCGCCUUUGCUUCUGGUUCCUUCUUGUAUCACGGACGAUGUCCUCGAGUCUGUGGGCAAAUUCAGAAGUUUCCGACGAAUCCCUACCGUCGUUUGGAGGCACGUAAACAACGGUGCGGUGAUAGCGCGAAGUAGCCAGCCGGAGGUCGGAUGGCUCGGCUGGAGCAGAAGCGAGCAAGACGAGCUUCUCUUGAAAGCCCUCUCGGAUGCGUGUUCCUACGACAAGGGCGAAACGACCAUGGUAGAUUCCUCCAUCAUGUACCCGGAUGCCGGCGACGAUGGUCUUGUAACGAAUAGUACGAAAAAAGUCUUGAUUGUCGACGCCAGAUCGUAUACGACGGCAGUGGCGAAUAGAGCUCGCGGCGGUGGUUGCGAGUGUCCCGAAUAUUAUCCCAGUUGCGACAUACAAUUCAUGAACUUACCGAACAUUCACUCGAUACGAAAAAGUUUUCACGCGGUGAGACAGCUGUGCGCAUCGGAUGCCGAUCAACCCAAUUGGCUCAGCCUUUUGGAAGGAACGCGGUGGUUGCAGCACAUGUCCGGGUUACUGCGGGCAGCUGUGACUGUAGCAUCGGCAAUCGAGAGAGAUGGCCGGCCGGUGCUGGUGCACUGCAGCGACGGCUGGGACAGAACGCCUCAGAUAGUGGCGCUGGCACAGAUCCUUCUCGAUCCUUACUACCGAACUAUGGAGGGAUUUCAAGUUCUAUGCGAGAGAGAAUGGUUAGACUUCGGGCACAAAUUCGCAGAUCGGUGCGGUCAAACGGUCGGCUGCGAUGACCCGAACGAACGAUGUCCAGUAUUUUUGCAGUGGCUCGACUGCGUCCACCAACUAAUUUUACAAUUCAAGUGCAGCUUUCAAAUGUCUCCCGCGUAUUUCGUGAAGCUCGCUCAACACACGUACUCUCAGCUGUUCGGCACGUUUCUUUGUAACACGAGACACGAGAGGUUACAGUUGAAAAUACGAGAACGUACGUUCUCUGUUUGGCGAUAUCUGAACUCGAGUUCGUUCGUAAAUCAUUUGUACUCUCCCUUGAAGAAUCGAGUGUUAUGGCCAAGUUGUAACGUACGCGACCUUGUUUUAUGGUCUGAAGUAUAUUUAGGUUCCAUGGAAACCUCCCUCGGUAUCGGGGACGACAAGCAGAGAGUGACGAUGAUAGAUAUCGAGGGUGGAGAGAGCGAGGAGCCGCAAGGGCAUAUGAGUAAAACGCGUUCGUACGGUGAUCUGAUGCAUACUCCCGAUCACGCGGCCUAUCUUCAUCGUCGACUCAGCGACCCAAGCGCAUCGGUAGAAAAGAAAUUCGAUUCGUUGACACUCGACACAGAGACGGGCGAGAAGGCGAUGAAACACGCGGCUAAUUGUAGAAUCGAAAGCGCGGUGGAAAGGACCUUGUCGGAAGAAGUGAACAACGCGAAGUGUUACGCGACGAGUGUGGAAGCUUGCACAGCUUCGAACGAUUCGCCGGUGAAUCCGUCGGUGGACAGUUCGACGGACACGCUGAUACCCAGCAAUGAUUCUUUACUCGGUGCGACCGAUAAAGAAACCGAAACGCAGAAAGACUCACCGCCGGACAUCGUGUCCCCUUGGGUCGAGAACAACAGCACCGUCGGUCGCACCGUGUGCUCUUGCAGUCGCAACUACAAUCACAACCACAACGAGGGUAGCGAUGUCAGCGAUACGAGCGCGCCGCUGAUAUCGAGAACACCCAGCAGCGUUUGUCCGGCUUCGCCGAUUUAUCAAGAUCCGGUGCUGGACAACCCCGACAGAUUGGACGACGUCGACGGUCUUCCCGUUAUACAUUGCGACGUUCAGAUGCGCCUCCAACAGAUCAUCGUCGAACAUAAGUUGAAGGAGGAAGCCUUGAGGAAGGAGUUACACACGACGAGAAUGGCUCUGAUCAAACAAGUCAGUAAUCACAACGCGGAGACCGAUCGUGUCGACGAUAUCGGAUCGUUACCCGAUUCGGUGGAAAGUACCGGUGAUCACGGAGAAUCUUUACCCUCGGACAUGUCGUGGGAAGCGGUGGAGGAAUUGGGCCCUGCUCCCACCCUCUGGGUACCCGAUCACGCGGUGAGUCGAUGCAUGGGAUGCGACACGGAAUUUUGGUUGGGGAGACGCAAACAUCACUGCAGAUGUUGCGGUAAAAUUUUCUGCGCUGAUUGUUCCGAAAACUCGACUCCGUUGCCCAGCGAGCAGCUGUACAACCCUGUGAGGGUGUGCAGCGAAUGUUUCUCGCGGCUUCACCAUCACACGAGCACUUGUCAGUGCAAUUUUCGUCACCAGAGUAAAGUGGAGAACGAUACCGCGGAACUAACGUCGAAUUCGGAGAACUUGAUCCCUUGUCCGAGACCGAAGGGAUUGAACAUGACGAAGGACAGCUGCUGCGACAACUUGCUGCAGAUCGUGCACCAAAAGGCGCAGCCCCCGGUUACAGCAGCCACGGUCAAUUGAGACCUCGCCCGUGCGAGGAACGAACGUAGCAUUUGGGUUUGGUCUAUUCGGCUUUCGACGAUGCGAAAAGUUUGUUAACUUUACGCGGGGAGCUACGAUCGAUUGGCUGCGAUACGUGUUCUACCAUUCAUAUGCAUGCGUGGUACGCGAACAACUACAAGCCAAUAACCAUCAUCACGCAGUUUUAGAUACUUUGAGCGAUCCAGUAUUUAUUGCUAGAGUAAUCGUUUGUACGAAGAAAAAGAAGAGUGUACAGUGCAUCGGAUUAAGAGAGAGGAAGUACGUCCGUGUGUAUGAGUACGUGAACGCGUGUGUGUGUGUGUGAGAAACAGAGAAAAAGAGAGAACGAAUCGGUAUACGAAAAAGGUUGCAUGCACCUUAUCCGUACGCAUAGGAAGAGUCGACUUCUAGCGAAGAGAUACCUGACUCCUUCGAGAGCGGAACGCGAGUUCCCUAAUGUAUAGGAGAGAUGUUAUCCUCUUGUACUCUUCGAGGUACAGCGAGGCGAGGCCGAGGAAUCUUUUUGGAUAGGCUGUGACUGAUGUCUAGUUUUGGACACCAACUACGCGAGUGAGAUUCUGAAGCGGCGACGCGUUUCUUAGAAUCUGCGUAGCGUUCCUUAUGAUAUCGACCUCGCCCUUCGUGUCGUCCGCAUUUUGGAAUUGUACCAGAAUUACGAGAUACGUUGUCACGACGCCUGCCAUCUGAAACACGUGCCCAGAUUAUACGCACGUUCUCUGAACAAUUGAGAUCUAGUCUUACCGACGUGAUCAGAGUCCUGUCCAAGUCGAAGAGACCGCAGGGGGAAAACUCGAGAGGCCGAUGCAACAGCUGAAGCGAGAAUAUUUCCAGUUCCUGUCGGGUGUUCGCCUCGAAGCUACAAGACAGCAAACGACUGACGAGAACCGCAGUUCGUUUCCCCUGAAACUCCGAGAUCAUUUUCUUCCGAGGAACUUAGCUUCUAUCCUGUACACAUACCUCGACGACCGUGAAAUAACUGGGCUGGACGAUUAUCAGCAUUCUAGUCACG